AUGAAACUUAUAUUGACUCUAUGCCAGUCAGAGGGGUUUGAGACAUUCCCAACUCUGCUUUGUGCAGAUGGAUACAUCAUGAUUGAUCAAAGAACGGGUGUUUAUGGAUAUCCUAUAGAGAUUCAAGCACUUUUCUUCAUGGCAUUAGUUCUCUACUCCAUAGCUUUCACAUAUCCAAGGUCCAGGAAAUGCUUAUCUGCUGGCAAUCACAAACAACAUCGCCUGGUAUGCCCUUUUCUUUGAAGAUUGAAUAUUGGUGGAAUUUGCUCUAUGGUUAUAUGCUGCAACUUCUGAAUGUGUUUGAAUAAGAAUAAGCGGAAUCGAGAUCAGCAUGACCAUUUAUCUUAGCUUCAGUUCUACUUUGGCAUAAUAUGAGAGAAGAACCUGUUAUUUACAUCAAUGGGAAACCAUUUGUUCUCCUUGAAGUUGAAAGACCGUACAAAAACAUGCGGGAAUACACGGUAAAAGUUACUUUUUAGUCUUUGGUAUCUCUUCAAUAAAACUUUAAGUUGAGAAAGUGGUAUUGCUAACUAGGAAUUGAAUUCAGAACAGUUUACUAUUCUAUUCUGUUUGGUGUGAAGGAGUAAAUUCGGUAAAGUUCAUAGGUGAUAUAAUAUAAAUUAACCAGUUAAGAGCCGAGAACUUGAGAUUUAAGUGUUAUAUUAACUAGGAAAUAGUUCAUGCAGGCUUUGUAUCUAUUAUUACUUUGAUAGUUGGUGUCCCACAUUACCAUUU